rnacentral:misc_RNA from 1 species
GAGAUAAAGUCUGCCCCGUAGCUGAGGAAGUGGCCGUUAAGCCUCACAGUCACAGGGUCGAGUCUGAGGGCUCUGCCUAUAGCGCCCAGGUCAACACCUCCUGGCCAGUCCACUAUGAGUGAGACAGGUUCCCAUUCACCAUUGACAAUGGCCAAAGAAGGAGCCCGUUUGAGAAUCACAAUUGAUCUUCCAGUGUUGUAAUUGUAGGAUGGUUCAUUGUUUCUGAUGGCUGGGUUGCAUCCAAA